GACCUGAACAAGGGGGAGCUCAUGGACAACAAAAAGAAACUUAUGGGCAAAGCUGCCUCUUAAGUGUUGAAGACCUCACUCAUCAUGAUGAUGGGGACAGGUUUUCUGGCUCUUCUAUUUCCUCCAGACACAAACUCUUUGGGAGCCUCUGAAAUGGAUCUAGCCCAGAAUUACAGUGCUUUUUCUGGGAGACAAAGAAAGCAUACGUUAAUCGCACUUGAAGAUGGUACUCUAUGUUUAGACUGAGAUAUCAGAACCUUGGAAUAGCUACACAAAUAUACCAGCUUUUUCACAGUCAUACAAGGAAUUUGCUAUGUUGACCAUACUGGCCUCAAACUUGCAAAGAUCUGAAUGUCUCUGUCCCCCAAGUGUUGAAAUUAAAGGAGAAUAUGAAAACCCCCUACUCUUGGAGGCUUGACCAUGGUGUACCCGCAGCUCAGAUCUCCCUCACCGUUUGCUUCAGUGCCCUUCAGAAACUGCUUCUGCCUGCAGCGUUUUAGUUACAAUCUACUCUCAAUGAGGAUGGCAAGUGAGAAGAGUCCGGUGUUAGUGUCAGCGCCAAGGACAGGCUUGGAGAGAACCAGUCGGUCUCCGUGAUUUUUCUCUUUUCAUCCCGUGUUCAACAGUUUAUCAGUGGAUAAAUGAAUUCUUAAAAUCUUUCCUAUAAGAUGUGAAACAGCCACUUAGCUGAAAGGAAAGGGGCAUGGGAAAGCUACUCAGACACCAACACCUAACUGAUUAAGAAAAUGAUUGAGCGAAUUCUUUUUUGAUUAGUGAUAUACAUCAGAAAAGGAUGCUGCAUUUCCCAAGCAAUUAUAUAUGCUUCCUAUUCAAUCUAAAUGAUUACAGAAUGUAUGUUACAGAUGCAUUUGCAUAUAUCUUAAGUAUCAAAUUUAUGUUCAUAGAGUUAAAGUCAUACGAAACAUUCACAUUUCAUGAAAGAAAACCUUGUAAAUAUCGCAAUGACUUUUGUGUCUUUUACUAGAUAUUCUCAUAUGCUAGUGCCUUUCACAUUUAUACGCAUGAGUUAUAAAAAGAACUGAGAUGAUCCAUUUUGCAGAGAGAAAACACACAUACACAACAUUUUGAAGUAAUAAAGACACUAAUGUGUGUGUGUGUGUGUGUGUGUGCUCAGACAGACUUUGGGGUACAUCUUGGUGAAUACUCAUAAAAAUUUCAAUCAAGCCUCUGAUUCAGCUGCUGUCACACAGAAUGCCUCUGUCAUAUGCUGACAGCUCAAAUGUAGUCUUUACAACCUUGCUCUUUAGCCAGAAUGUCACACAGACUUCAGAUAAUGGCAAAAAAUCUUAGGCUAAGCAAUGUUUAUAUUUAAGAAGUUUCAGAAAUGUAUCACAUCUGGGAGUGAGAAAGUCGGUGUCCAUCAGUAAUUUGGCCCCUGAGAAGAGGAUCCCCAAUCUCUACUAGAUGGCUGGACAUCUACAUACAUGAAGACAGCACUAUGUAAACACAUGGAUAAAAAAAUAGGGCAUAUAGUUGGGAGGGAAAAGUGAUCAUAGGAGAUCACAGGAUAGUAAAGGGUUUUUUUUAUAAAUAUUAGAAACAGGCUUGCUUUCUUGUCAAUCACAGUUCCCUUGUAAAGGUUUUAAUGGAUAAAUAUGAACAAAAGGUAUUAUAUGCACAUAUAAAAUUCUCAAACAAUAACAAGUUUAAAACUAAGAAAUUAUGAUGUUUCCAUUACUUCCCGACUCUAAAAUAUUGGAGUGGUAACCCAAAAGUGCUUAACCUAAUGGGGGUUGUGUUUCCUGCUUCAUACAGUUAUGCAAACACUCUGAGGUUGCAAUACUCUAUGGAAUGUUUAGGAAAUGGAGAACAGGAUUUCGUCUCUUGUGGUGGUUUGGCCUCUGGCAUGUUUUCCCAAGCAUAUAUGGUAAUUCAAAGAGGAACACCUCCAGUUUCUCUGCUGUAAGCAUUGCCAAAGAUCAUUGCCAUCACCAGGCUAUAGGAAUCCUUUGCUGCCCCAUCAGAGCUUCUGCCUCUUGGGGUGUAGGUCACAUCACCCACAUUAUGAAGAAUCUAUCAUAGGUACCUCUUCCAAAGUACCUUCCUAACUUUCUUGCAAAGGACUAAUCUUCACAUUCUAGGCUCGUUGCCAACAUUGAUUAAUCUACCUGCAUAUUAUAGGAAUAUAUGCCUGGUUGGGAAGCUAUUUUGUGGUAUUAAAGUGUAUCUUUUCCAAAACAGAGAAUAUUCUUUUGGCUACAAAGACCAGUCUCAGUUGAAAAAAACUUAUCUUAUAUUUAAAUAGAGGACAUAAAUCCCUGUCAUAUUGAGGAAUUACUCUAGUAAAAUGAGCACAAGUUAAUAUGAUUGUGCAUUAUGCUCUUACAAGGCAAAUCCCACUUAAUCAUUUAUUCAGCCAAUAUUCAUAUCAAUACAUUUUAAGUCUCAUUACACUUAGGUAGCUCUCACUGGGCAGAGAGUCAAAGCAGGCUGUUAUGGUUUGAAUAAGACAAAGACUUCCGAAGGUAAUGUAUUCAACACUUGUCCCCAUCUGGUGGCACCAUUUUGGGAAGAAGCAGUAUGAAUUAAAAAAUGAAGGAAUUUCAAUUUAAAUGGGAACAUAUUCAUUGGUACUGGGGCCUGACUGGUAGCAGUAGGUUCCUUGGUGUAUGCCUCUAAGGUUGAGGAUGGCCCUUGAUCCCUAAUUUCCUUUUUUCCCCAUGUCCUGCUUAAUGCAAGAAGAGCAAGCAUCAUGUUCCCACCUACAAACUAAGCAAAUGACCCAUGGAUUGAACAUGGAAGAUCAGUCUUUCCUAUACUAAGUUACUUUUCUCAAGCAUUUGACUACAGUGUCAAAAUCCAGCUGUCACAUAGGCAAAGUUGUUUCUUCAUCGCUGCUUUUCAGUGUCUUCUAUUGUAAAGAAUAAAUAUUAACCAAUAAAGGGUAGACAACAUUUCCCCCUGGGGAUCUUAAUUUCCUUUGCUAACUCUGUCCAUUGUGUUUUAACUCCCUCUAAAGAAACUUCUCAGCUAUUAUUUUGAUAUUUCUAGGCAACAGAGUUAUAAAUCAGUAUAUUUUCCAAAAUUCUCUUUGCUACAUGUACCAAAAGCAGUAUGAUAGUCAUCUAUCGACUUUUUGCUUUGUGUUGAUAAAGACAUUCUAUAAUUUGUGACAUAAAAAGCCACCCUCAGGAAAAAACAGCUCUAAGUAAAUAAAAGAAAAAGAAACAUGACUCAUUAUAAAUCACAUAAAAGGUCAGGCAGUAGCCCCUCUAAUAACGUUUAAAUAUGUAAGAUUUAAAUCUACUUCUUCUGGUAAACCUGCCCAGAGAACAAAAUUCAUGAUAGUUGAACACUGUUAAACACUGUGGUUACAUUGGAAAGACUGACUCUAAAGAAGCAUCAGAUAGUUUUGAUUCCUGUUCAUUGUCUAGGAAAGAAGAAAACUAUGUUUCAAACUAACCUGAAAAUCUCUCAAAUAACUGUUUUGCCACAAAGAAUAUAUAAAGGCUUCUGAGGUGAUGAUUUUCCCCGAGUUGACCUUUGGAAGUAGUUAUUUUGCCAUUAGCUUCUAGCAAGCAUAGAGACUACACUGGUUUUCUAAAGUGCAUGCUAUCUUUUUUUGAAGUUGUUUACGUUCUAACCAGUGCAGUACAAAACUCUAAAAGCCCAUGAGGCAUACCAGCUCUCCAGACUUGUGAAAAUACAAGAUCAACUCUGACUUAAUAUGUUGAAUAUUGUUGGCACAUUGUCCCAUGGAGAGAUUAUUGAUUAUGAUUAUUGAUUAUUAGUGAUUAUGUUACACACAUGCACACAUAUUCACACACACAAAAACACACACAUACACACACACUCACACAUACACACAGUCACACCUACACACAUAUUCACACACAUACAC